rnacentral:sRNA from 1 species
GCAAGGCGUGGUGGUGCACACCUGUAAUCCCAGUAACUUGGAGGCGCUGAGACUGGAGGAUCUCAAGUUUGAUGCCAGCCUGGGCAAUUUAGUGAGAUCCUGUCUCAA